AAAAAUUUACGAAGGCUUAAUGAUUAUCAUUUACAAACCAAAUUAAAUUAAUCAAGAUCGUUAGUAAGUUUU
rnacentral:pre_miRNA from 1 species